GUCGAGGGGCAGCAGGUUUGUAGCAAUACAGAUGCUGGCGACCGGCACACGGGUGCGGAACACGUACGCAACCUUCCUCUAACUGGGAGAUAGCCCACCGAAAGGUGGAUUAAUACCCCAUAAUAUAUUUGAGUGGCAUCACUUGGAUAUUAAAGCUCCGGCGGUUAGAGAUGGGCGUGCGUCUGAUUAGGUAGUUGGUGAGGUAACGGCUCACCAAGCCUGCGAUCAGUAGCUGAUGUGAGAGCAUGAUCAGCCACACGGGCACUGAGACACGGGCCCGACUCCUACGGGAGGCAGCAGUAAGGAAUAUUGGUCAAUGGACGCAAGUCUGAACCAGCCAUGCCGCGUGGAGGAUGAAGGUCCUCUGGAUUGUAAACUUCUUUUCUCUGGGACGAAACCCCCGAUUUCCAUCGGGCCUGACGGUACCAGAGGAAUAAGCACCGGCUAACUCCGUGCCAGCAGCCGCGGUAAUACGGAGGGUGCAAGCGUUAUCCGGAUUUACUGGGUUUAAAGGGAGCGUAGGCGGGCAGUUAAGUCAGUGGUGAAAUCUCUGGGCUUAACCCGGAAACUGCCAUUGAUACUAUCUGUCUUGAAUAUUCUGGAGGUAAGCGGAAUAUGUCAUGUAGCGGUGAAAUGCUUAGAUAUGACAUAGAACACCCAUUGCGAAGGCAGCUUACUACGGAAUGAUUGACGCUG
rnacentral:rRNA from 1 species